GGUUGUGCCGCCCGUCCCAGGGGAGACCUUGGGAGCUUUGUAGCAACUUGGCAUCUCCUGAGUCGCCAGAGAGAAUUUGCCUUAUUGUACUGAGUGCUGAGGAGUGGGCGCUGGGUGGCUUCCCUGGGCAAGCUGGUUGCUGAGCUGCACAGGCCCUUGCAUUUUCUGGGCUGUUCCCGUGAUUCAUUCCUCCCCUUCCCGGACAGUAUUUGAACAAGACGUAUUUUACUAAAGGCUUCGUGGAUUGCAGGGUCCCACGACAUCACCCCUCGAUGCAGUCGAUGGUUUGUUCCAGAUUCAGGCUUGUUUCUGGGAAGAAACGCUGACAGAAAUUCAGAAGAAUGGGAGCUGCAUUCCUUUAGGACAUGAAUACAUGAAAUGCUCGUUUUGGGAACUCCUAGAAGAAUGAGCUGGGACCCAUUCCGAGUCCUGCUGGAACCAGAGACCGAGAUACUGCCCAGGUGUCUGAAUGACUGCACUGGGGUACCUAACUUCUUUUCUGAUAGACUAUAUUCCUGGCCCGAAUUUUAAUAGAAAAACAAGGGACCUUACCUUAUUGUUUAAAACCGUGAUUCCCAAUCCCUGGGCUGAGUUGUUAACAGUCUUAGUUUAAUGAACUCCCAUGACCAUCUUUUUUGGAGGAUCUUUGUGUGGAGAUAUCUCAAUUGAAACUGUGAGAAGGGUGAGUGGACACUUCCCAGAGAUUUUGCAGAUGCUUUAUGUAUAUAAUGUCUUCUUUUUAAAAUGUUCUUAGAAACAAAUAUUACCCGUUUUCACAGAAAACACAGCUGAGCCUCUGUGUAGG